GUGCCAGCCGCCGCGGUAAUACCGGCAGCACGAGUGAUGGCCGAGAUUAUUGGGCCUAAAGCGUCCGUAGCUGGCCGGACAAGUCCGUUGGGAAAUCCACCCGCUUAACGGGUGGGCGUCCAGCGGAAACGGUCCGGCUUGGGGCCGGAGGACCCGAGGGGUACGUCCGGGGUAGGAGUGAAAUCCUGUAAUCCUGGACGGACCGCCGGUGGCGAAAGCGCCUCGGGAGGACGGACCCGACGGUGAGGGACGAAAGCCAGGGUCUCCAACCGGAUUAGAAACCCUGGUAGUCC
rnacentral:rRNA from 1 species